GAUGAACGCUGACAGAAUGCUUAACACAUGCAAGUCAACUUGAACUUCGGUUUGGGUGGCGGACGGGUGAGUAACGCGUAAAGAACUUGCCUCACAGCUAGGGACAACAUUUGGAAACGAAUGCUAAUACCUGAUAUUAUGAUUAUAUGGCAUCGUAUAAUUAUGAAAGCUAUAUGCGCUGUGAGAGAGCUUUGCGUCCCAUUAGCUAGUUGGAGAGGUAACAGCUCACCAAGGCGAUGAUGGGUAGCCGGCCUGAGAGGGUGAUCGGCCACAAGGGGACUGAGACACGGCCCUUACUCCUACGGGAGGCAGCAGUGGGGAAUAUUGGACAAUGGACCGAGAGUCUGAUCCAGCAAUUCUGUGUGCACGAUGAAGUUUUUCGGAAUGUAAAGUGCUUUCAGUUGGGAAGAAAAAAAUGACGGCACCAACAGAAGAAGUGACGGCUAAAUACGUG
rnacentral:rRNA from 1 species